rnacentral:lncRNA from 1 species
AUUGAAUCCUUAACAUGAAUCCUGACGUUGGUUAUUUGUGAGCAUUUUCUUAUAUUUUUAACUCCAGAUGUUGUUGAUUUCUGGGUUUCAUCCUUAGUAAAGCCAUGGAGAGCAAGCAAACUUGAGUUUGAGAACUACACAUGGCAGAGGUAGGAAGAAGGAAGCUGAGCCUUUUUCCAGAGCCUUCUAGGUUCAUUUGCAUCUUUCCAGGUAGAACAGUAGCUACUUCUCAUACAAACGUUCUACCCCAGGAUACAGCUAGACUGUUAUAAGAGUUCCCACAAGGACUGAAUCAAGGAAAUGUCUUGUCACUAAACCAUACGAUUGUUGAGUGUUUUGGGUGAGCGUGUUCUAACAGGAUCUCUGUACGACUCCAUUUUCCUUUGUGAAGGUGAAGGACAGUCAUUCGCGGUCUGCCAUUCAGUUGUCUGGGCCUGGCCUCAUUCUGCUAUAUACAAGCACCUAGUAACUCACCCUAGUUGCCAUUUUCUUAAAUUGCCAUGAGCCAAAUACUUCAAUUGAUUAAUCUAUUUUAAUGGCUGCCUUCGUUGCUUUUCUUUUUGCUAUCCAUUUAUAGUUGGUA